ensembl:misc_RNA Metazoa_SRP Metazoan signal recognition particle RNA
GCUGGGCAUGGUGGCGCGUGCCUGUAAUCCCAGCUACUCAGGAGGCUGAGGCGGGAGAAUUGCUUGAACCCAGGAGGCGGAGGUUGCAGUGAGCCGAGAUCGCGCCACUGCACUCCAGUCUGGGUAACAAGAGCGAAACUCCGUCUCAA